GACGAACGCUGGCGGCGUGCCUAAUACAUGCAAGUAGAACGCUGAAGGAGGGGCCUGCUUCUCUGGAUGAGUUGCGAACGGGUGAGUAACGCGUAGGUAACCUGCCUGGUAGCGGGGGAUAACUAUUGGAAACGAUAGCUAAUACCGCGUAAUAUUGAUUAUUGCAUGAUAGUCAAUUAAAAGGUGCAAUUGCAUCACUACCAGAUGGACCUGCGUUGUAUUGGCUAGUUGGUGAGGUAACGGCUCACCAAGGCGACGAUACAUAGCCGACCUGAGAGGGUGAUCGGCCACACUGGGACUGAGACACGGCCCAGACUCCUACGGGAGGCAGCAGUAGGGAAUCUUCGGCAAUGGACGGAAGUCUGACCGAGCAACGCCGCGUGAGUGAAGAAGGUUUUCGGAUCGUAAAGCUCUGUUGUAAGAGAAGAAACGAGUGUGAGAAGUGGAAAG
rnacentral:rRNA from 1 species